AGGGAUUGAAAUCAUUCUCCAUUAUACGGGAAGUACUACCGAACUUACAAAUCAACUCAUUAUGAGCUGAUGCUUUCCCUUCUACUACAUUACAUUUAACUAACUAUACUACUAGCUUCUACUACAUUACUUCGCUAAUACUAUUUCUACUACUAAUCUACACUAACAUAUAAAACUAGUGGCGUCUAGCCACUGGCCUUGUUGCUGCCCUUGCUGCUGCCCUUGCUGCCGCCACUGCCGUCGCCGCCGCCACCCUUGCCGCUGUCACCGCCGCCGUCACCGUCGCCUCCGUCGUCGUCGCCGUCGCCGCCGCCACCCUCCUCGGACGAGUCG